ACUUUAGCCACUUCUGGGAGCAGUUCUAGCAGUCCUCCUAUCUGAGUGUGUUUGCAAGAUGAAACCAACACAAAACAAAUGUUGCUGCCGAAUGCCACCCAACAGAAACCCCAGCGGCUGGCAAGAAGAUGAUGCCUACCAAAGUGCCGGGGUCACCUACGGAACUGCAGAACUCCUGAAUGUUAAGUUUCUGUCCUCUGGAGACUGUUAUGUGGAAGAGAGUGUGCCUUUGUUCUGGGGAAAAAAAAAAAAACUAAAACACUGACAGUCUUAUGGGUUUUUAAGUUACAGACCUUGGGCUGGAACUGGCGGUAUUUCAAGCUGUUCUUAUGAUAAACAUAUUUAGCAACCCCUUGUGCUUUAAAAGGGUCUGUCAAAAGGCUUCUGCAUCACUACCUGUCCAUUUUGGUUGCUCAAGAAAAUUUGAUAAAUGAAAAUAAUGUGUCAGUCUACUACAGGGCAUUGCUCAGAAUUCCAGCAGUCACUGAUGAUUGGUUUGCAUGAAGACAAAACUUUAGAAUCUGUGGCCAUCGUGUAGGAGAGUUUAAAACACAAUCAUAACAUUUCAGGUGCUUGGGCGGAACAGUUGCAGCAUCUUGAAGCACACAGCCACUGUGGACCCUCAUGCCUCUUAUCCUGAAGAAUGCAUAGCUAGAGGCAGAGCAGAGCUCCUUCCCACAUUCAUUUGGAAUGCUGAAUGGAACAGUGAAAAUGUGGGCUAAGUGCUGUGGAGCCCUGGAAGGGCUAAAUCUCCAGAGCAAGACAAACCCUCGAGAGGUGAACUGGAUCUGUGCGUCUUUCUAUCCCUUUUGUUCUGAAGCUUCAGCUCAUUGGUCUGAGUUGCUCCUCAUCUUCUGCUUCUCUAGCAGAGAGAGCCCUUGUAGACCAUCCUGAUUCUGGUGAUAGGUAAAGCUUUCAUUAGAUCUCAUGUAAGUAAUACAAAUGUUUUGAGAAAAAUAAACUACAAAAGCAAAUUGAAAAGCAUCAAAAAUGUCAGUGGUGUAUACUUCCAUUGUUACCAUGUGAUACAUAACUUCCUGGAUAUUUUAAUAUGUACAUGUUUUAAUGUGUACUUGUACAUGUUUAAUACAUACAAAUU